GACAGAGGGGGCGAGCGUUGUCCGGAGUCACUGGGCGUAAAGCGCGCGCAGGCGGCAACCUUAGUGUCGUGUGAAAGCCCCCGGCUCAACCGGGGGAGGCCAUGGCAAACUGGGUCGCUCGAGCUGCGGAGAGGCCCCUCGAAUUGCCGGUGUAGCGGUGAAAUGCGUAGAGAUCGGCUGGAAGACCAAGGGGGAAGCCAGGGGGCUGGCCGCAGGCUGACGAUGAGGCGCGACAGCGUGGGGAGCAAACCGG
rnacentral:rRNA from 1 species